UACAGAGGGGGCAAGCGUUAUUCGGAAUUAUUGGGCGUAAAGGGCGCGUAGGCGGCUUUUCAAGUGACGGGUGAAAUCCCUCGGCUUAACCGAGGAACUGCCUGUCAGACUGGAAGGCUUGAGACCGGGAGAGGUGAGUGGAAUUCCCAGUGUAGCGGUGAAAUGCGUAGAUAUUGGGAGGAACACCAGUGGCGAAGGCGGCUCACUGGACCGGUACUGACGCUGAGGCGCGAAAGCGUGGGUAGCAAACGGG
rnacentral:rRNA from 1 species